CUUCGCUCGUCUCUAAGAGUAAGCCAUGCAUGUGUGAGUAUAACUAAUCGACUCCGAAACUGCGAAUGGCUCAUUAAAUCAGUCAUAGUUUAUAUGGUGAAGGAUACUAAUCGGAUAACCGUAGUAAUACUAGGGCUAAUACAUGAGCAAAGUCCCAUUGGGAUGUGUCUAUUAGAAUGAAAACCAUAUGCUUCGGCAUGAUAGUGAGUAAUAGUAACCUAUCGUAUCGCAUGCUUAAAGUAGCGAUGAGUCUUUCAAGCCUUCUGCCCUAUCAGCUUUCGAUGGUAGCAUAUGUGUCUACCAUG
rnacentral:rRNA from 1 species